rnacentral:rRNA from 1 species
CAGCCGCCGCGGUAAUACGAAGGGGGCUAGCGUUGUUCGGAUUAACUGGGCGUAAAGGGCGCGUAGGCGGGUUUUUAAGUCAGAGGUGAAAUCCCAAGGCUCAACCUUGGAACUGCCUUUGAUACUGGAAGUCUUGAGUCCGGGAGAGGUGAGUGGAACUGCGAGUGUAGAGGUGAAAUUCGUAGAUAUUCGCAAGAACACCAGUGGCGAAGGCGGCCAUCUGGGACAACACUGACGCUGAGGCACGAAAGCGUGGGGAGCAAACAGGAUUAGAUACCCGAGUAGUCCCUGUCUCUUAUAC